rnacentral:rRNA from 1 species
GAUUUGGUCGAGUGGUCCGCCUAACGGUGUGUUACUGCUUGACUGGGUCUUGUCUCUUGGUGAACCGUUGUGCCGUUUAUUCGGUGCUCUGGGGAACCAGGACUUUUACCUUGAGAAAAUUAGAGUGUUUAAAGCAGGCUUUCGCUUGAAUACAUUAGCAUGGAAUAAUAGAAUAGGACU